rnacentral:rRNA from 1 species
UACGUAGGGACCAAGCGUUGUCCGGAAUCAUUGGGCGUAAAGCGCGCGUAGGUGGCUUCAUAAGUCCGUUGUGAAAGUCAAAGGCUCAACCUUUGAAAGCCGAUGGAUACUGUGGAGCUAGAGUACGGAAGAGGCGAGUGGAAUUCCUGGUGUAGCGGUGGAAUGCGCAGAUAUCAGGAGGAACACCAAUAGCGAAGGCAGCUCGCUGGGACGUUACUGACGCUGAGGCGCGAAAGCGUGGGGAGCGAACAGG